AAAAACACCGAAAAUCCAUGACCCAUUUUCCCAAUAGGACAACAGAGAUAAAAUACGAGUUUGUUUUAUAGCAAUAGUAAUUAAUCGUUAUUGUUUUAAGGUUAAUUUAUUCAUCCAUGUAGAUAAUAUUUUUGUUUUAAGGUCAAUUUAUUCAUCCGUGUAGAUAAUAUUUUUCUUUGUUUGCUAAUAAAUCAACUAAUUAAACUCAUGUUUCAAUAAUCAAUUCGAUCCUCCGAUUGGAUCGGUGGCAAAUGCCUAGGAAAAGUUUUCUUGAAUUUAUCCAUGUUUUGUUUAUUCCUUAUCUUAAAAAUCCUAAUUCUAUUUUUUAAUUCUUCAGCUUAAUUCCGCUUAUGAAUGCAGCUUAGAAUUAGGUAAAAUUUAAAAUAAGAAAUGGAAUAAACACAUAUACAAUUGUGACAAGAGAACAUCGCAAUGGACGAACUGACGUCCCCCCAAUAGGAUUAUAGAAUUUUGUGAUUUGUGUCAUGAAGUUGAAGAAUGAUUGUUCAUGUCGAAUGAGAUGCAUUGGGUAGUAGAUUAAAUUCAAUAAUUUUAUUCUAAUUGCUUUGCCCCCUUAGGCACUCACACUUGCCGUGUAAGGACAUCAAUUUUCCCUUUACUAUACCAGAGAAGACUUGGGAUGUAUAAUGUUUUUAAGUCAAGUCUUCCACUUAUUCUAUAUUUGUUCUUUUCCUUGUACAAUUGACCCAUUCUGCAGAGAAUAUGGAAUUAGAAACUUGACUUGACUCGUAACCAAGGUUCUAAAAACGCUGAGCGGUAGACGGGUAACGGGUUGGGGUCUAGGCAGACUAGAUUGAUUUAAGUUAAUUUAUUAUAUACCGUAUAUCUAAUUUUAUGUUUAAACUUAAAAAAUACAUAAUUACAUUGAGUUACAUAAAUUAUAAAAUAGAAUGACAUAUAUAUUAUAAAAUAUUAGAACAUAAUGAAAACAUGGGAACAAGCACAUAAUAUGUGUUCAUCUAAGUAUUCAAUAAGUCUCUUAGAAUUUAUUGAAAAAAUAAAAUGCAAAAUGAAAAUAAUUAUUUAUUUUCUGUUUAAGUGAAAGUCGCGACCUAAGCAGGUUUGGGCAUGCUAGGCGAGCGUCUAAGUAGGUCUAAGCACCAUUUUCAAAUUUUCAAACGCUUAAGAAUUAAUCGGGAAGGUAGCUAGCCGUCUAGCACCGAGACGGAGCAUAGGCGGAAAAUUUUAAAACAGUGUUCAUAACUUCUCUACUACGUACCAUAUUGCAAUAAUCUCAUUUCUAACAUCCUCCCAUAUCUAAUUGGUUUUAUAGCUUAUGAAAAUGGAGUAUUUAGGAGAAAUAAUUAUUGUCACAUUGUUUUUGCUUCAUUAGUGAGAAAUAAUGAUUAGAAAACUAGGUUUCUACGAGUCUCUGUGAUAAGAAAUCGCAUCCCUAAUUUUCUUAGAGUCAAUUUAAGGAAAAUGAUUUAUGCAUAUUGUAUUUUUUUUUACACGUUUUUUUUAGCCAUUAACUUAUGCAAAUUAUAAGUCGGCAGUGAAAGUACAAACUGUAUAUCACUCUAAAACUUAAUACAUAAAUUUGUUUUCCUCCUCUACCUUUAUUUUCCCUGCACCAGAUAUUCCAUAUACAAUCAGUCAAUCCCAAA
rnacentral:lncRNA from 1 species